GCCUUAGAAAUUAAGAAGAUUGUUUAAUUUCAAGAAUGAACCUUAAGUAUUAGCAUUGAGAGAAAGUGAAGAAAAUUAUUAACGCCAUAGUUGUUGUUGUCGACUAUCUCCGAUCUAUGGCAUGCUCGAUCUCCUAUUAAGGUAGAGGUCAGUCACCUAUCGAGAUGGAGUUAGCUUUCACUGGAGUAGACAUGCUCCUUCUUCAAAGAUACCUAUAAAGAAAUCCACUCACUAGAGAUUUUCGAUAGGAGAACCUGCGAUGCUUUAGUUAGCUGGAGCUUUCAGCAAACAGUCAAGUAGAGAGUGAGAGAAUGAU
rnacentral:lncRNA from 1 species